CAAAAGUCUAGUCACAUUGUGGAGUUAUGUACAAGUUGGAGCUGCCAUGAAGCCUGGUAUGAAGAAUUAAGAUGAUGGCACCACCAGGUUGCAUUUGUGCAGAAACAUCUCAGAUUGCUUUUUGACUCACUGUUUUUCCUGGGAAAGGAAUUAUCAUCUGCUGCGUGGGGGGAGGGAUGGAGGAGGAUCGACUGCACGGAUGUUUGAGGGUCACACAUCAACAGGGAUCAUACAUCAACUACAACAGAAACUUGAUGAUGUUUUUGCUGCACAAACAAAGUUAAAGCUUUCAUUGGGGAAAGGUAGUAAAAACUGGAUUUAGCCCGUCUGUCCUGGGGGUGUGGUAAAAAAAUGUCAGGGGGGCAGGUUGUGACAAAAUGCACUUGUUUUAUCCAUGUGGUUUUAUGUGUGUCCACAUGAACACACAUAGUUGUUUUUACCUCUUUACCUUUCAUGUGCUGUGGCCUGGAGGAGAUUUUUUUCUAUUGUUUAAAUGCACAGACUGUAUGUAGGUUUAAAUGCAAUUACAAUGAACCUGAAGCGCUUGAAUAAAACACUACCCCACA